rnacentral:lncRNA from 1 species
GCUCCAGCCUUGGCCAGCCCAGAAAGGGAAUCCCACAGUGCAGUGGGGGGCUGAAGGGCUCCUCAAAUGCCACCAAAGUGGGAGCCCAGGCAGGGGAGGUGCCGAGAGAGCAAGCGAGGGCUCUGAGGACUGCCAGCACGCUGUCACCUCUCAAUUUUACAAGCAACUUACUUCUCCAAGACCAGGUGGAUAUGAUUCAUGCUCUGAAACUAUGUAUGUCCAUCUACUUCAAACUGAAGCUGUCAUUUAAUUUGCAUUCCAUCAAUUGAAUCAGAUAAUAGGCUCUAUUGUAGCCUGUAAAACUGACAAUGUCUCCUUUCUUCAAGUCGCAUUGACGUAAGAAGAGUUGUAUUUUUAUAGAAAGAAAAUAUUUUGCCUAAUCGCCUUCAAAGGAGCCUUGUACACAAUCUCUAGGUGAGGAAUGACUUUGUAAUCCGAGGCAUAAGGUAAUUGUAAAUGAUAAGUCACCUAUUAUCUAUUAGAGUUCAGAAUGACUCAAAAGUUAAAGUGAUUCAUGUGUUUUGCUGAUGGAUAAGAAAGAUGUUUUGAAAAAUAGGAAAUAGGCUCUUUCCUAGAAUACCUAUAAUAUACUUAAACAUGUAAUGCACAUACAUAAUGUAUAUCAUUAUGAGAUGAAUUGUGUCUCACAAAAUUCAUAACUUAAAGCUGUAACCCGCAGUACUUUGAAUGUGACUGUAUUCAGAGAAAGAACGUUCACAGAGAACAAGAACCUGAGACCUGCCGAACAGCAGGUGCCAAAGAUGCUGCUGUAACACCACAGCCCUCCCAUCUUCCAUCCUCCACUGGCGCUGAGUGGCAGUCCCAUGUGACAGGAAGUGGAGGCAGAGCUGGGCCAGCCCAGGAGCCACGUGCUGGAGCCAGAUACUCUGUUUUUCUACAAAUGGAAAGUUUGUGGCAUCCUUGACUCAAGCAAAUUUUUCAGCACCAUUUUUCAAGAGCGUGUGCUCACUUCACCUCUCUGUAUCGUGUUUUGAUGCUUGUCCUGGAAACCAACCAUGAGCUGUGAUGAAAUCCAGGCAACUGAGUUGUGUUUCAGCCCAAAGCAGCAAAUGGAAUCCAGCUUCAGGACCAUCAUCUGACAUAGGGGAAGAAGACUUACAUAGAAGGCCUAACCAGCACCCAAGAUCAUGGCUGGUGUCAGAGAAGGCUGAAUUGGGUACCAAGACAUUCCUUCUCUCCAGGUGGUAACAAGGACCCUCACAUGGUAUUAAUGAAGACCAAAUGAUUUGCUGCUUGUUGAACCUCUCAAAUACUGAAGGGAAGUUUCCUGGCGGUCUCUCGUCAUAUGCUGUUUACUAAAGGAAUAGUUUCCGAUCUGCUGUAAGAAGUACUAUGCUGUCCAUUUGUUCCAGGACCUUAUCCUCUGCAG